UUAUAUUGUUGUGUUUCACGCCAUAUUAUCAGACCACCUUAAGUGGGUCCGCCUUAAAUUUUGAGUUUGUGUGAUCGCUGUUGAUUGGUAGCUAAACUGCUGGUAAACUGUGUACAGACGUUUUACGUUCGAAUUGCAGAGAAAAAAAAUUCUGGUUGCAACAUUGUGCAGUAUGAGCGAACCAUUUCACCAAAAAAAGGGGAAGCAAGGCAAGACGUGGCUGCAGCGGUCUGCAGACGUGACUUCUGAUCAAAUUCGAACCUCCUAAAGAAACAAAGAGCGACAUUAUAUUGCGGGAUGACGUCACCUGAAAAUGACCAAUAGCGCGGCGCGCUGCUGAGCUGUGUGCCAACCGCUCUUUUUUUCAUGCAGGAGACUCAAGUUGGCUUCGCUAACGGACACAGUUUUGAACUCGUAUAUUAGCGCCAUUUAUUGCUGCUUGGACCACAGCAUCUUUGGAAUUUGUAGACAUCCUGGCAGCUUACAAUUAGUUCGAGGUGAGGUGAGUACAUGCAACUUCAAGUUAUCUCUGUUAUAAAAAUCCACCAGCCCAGCGUUUAUAGAUAAUUUUAGCAGUUCGUUUUUUAUGAGUGAGGUUGUGAAUUUAGUUAGCAUUUGUGAGUUGAGUUAGCAUUACUGUCGCGAGGGAAGCAUUGCUCUGGAUUAGUUUCUGUGUUUGGCGUGCUUAAUUCGCUAGGGAGGAAUUACCAAAGUACAUGGAGUUAUGUUAACCUGUAAUUUCUGUGGUAAGGUAGUUCAGUCAUCAAGGGGCUACGUGCUUCAUUGUAAACUGCAUCGGAAUGAGCCACGUUGUUUCUUUCGGUGUAUUGAAGCAGGCUGCAAGCAGACAUACACCAGGUAUGGCGCGUUUAAGGCUCAUUUUUACCGAAGACACUCUGCCCCCACCCAUGUCACUGGUGUGGCGGUGGUUUCUUCGUUUACAUGUGCAAUGGCGAUGUGUGAACGUCAGUGUCAGAACUCUCUCUUUAUGAUUAAAAAGGUUUGUUUUGUUCCUGCCCUUUUCAGACACUGAAUUUGAGCAGAAACCAUAAGGAUACUCAAAGGACCUGUGACUCUCAGGAAAUGGUGAGAUUUCAGCAUCAAAUGAGAGGGACAGAUGAAACAGUUUCAAGACAAUGGCAGGAAAAACAUGCUGAAGAUUGAAACAAACCUUGGCUGGAAAUAUUUGAAAGUAUCUAGCCAGUCCACAAUGAAAGCUUCGUUGCACCCCAUGAGUCUUCUGGCAGAAAUGAUGGCGCCUGUAUUCUUUGGUUUCCCUAAACAUCACACCCUGCCUGUUUAUACGAGGCUCUUCAAUUAAGUCUGCACCCAAAGAUUCAAUAAGAGAGGGGAUCCUGCCAGUCCAAAGUGAACUCCUGAUGGACAUUGAAGUACUCCUGCAGAGCUUGUAUCUUCGACACCAUGCGCAUUAGAAACUCCACUGAGUCCUUUCCUUCACCAAGGCAGGACCCAGUGACUCAUUACUGUUGAUAGGUCA